rnacentral:rRNA from 1 species
GGCGUGCCUAACACAUGCAAGUUGAGCGAUUUACUUCGGUAAAGAGCGGCGGACGGGUGAGUAACGCGUGGGUAACCUACCCUGUACACACGGAUAACAUACCGAAAGGGAUGCUAAUACGGGAUAACAUAUUUGAGAGGCAUCUCUUAAAUAUCAAAGGUGAGCCAGUACAGGAUGGACCCGCGUCUGAUUAGCUAGUUGGUAAGGUAACGGCUUACCAAGGCGACGAUCAGUAGC